rnacentral:tRNA from 64 species
GUCUCCAUGGUGCAACGGAUAGCAUAAUGGUCCUCGAAACCACAGAUCCGGGUUCGAAUCCCGGUGGAGGCA